UUGUAGAAGGUUGCCGAGGAAAGGCAGAGCCCGGGGCCCGGGAGGGUAGUUGCCACACUUCUUCCACCUCUUCAUCAAGUCAAAGGCCAGGGCAAAGACGGUGCAGAACACGGCCAGCGCCGGGAACCCGCCAAACACCCUGAGCACGACCCCGGGGAGAGCCGAGAACUCCAUGUUCACCGGAGAUAACGAGCGGCAAACUCACUGUGAGCGGAGAGAGGCGAGUGGAUGCCAGGAAACUUCACUGGGAGACGCCCCCACUGACCCCUUCUCUCUCACGCAGACAUUGCACAUUGACGUCCAGAUGUGGCUGUUGUGUGCGGUGGGUGUUGGAGCAGAUAUCAGAUCAAACACAACCUGCUCCUUCCCUUCACAGCCCGUGGUCUCUGGUCCAGUGGGCGGGGCGAGCCUGACCCAGAAUCGAUCCCUUGCCUGGGAUCGCUCCAAACGCGGCCUGCGGACAUUACCAUCAUUAGCUCGCAUUCUCGGGAAAGGCUAGUCGGGAGCUCCAAUGACGCAGAGAUUUGACGAGGGUCCGUUCGCCGACACAGAGAGCUGAUAUCCCCCCGAUGCACCAGCUUAUCACCCAGACACGGAGGGCCCAAACAACGCCGGCUACGGGAGUCAAGACCGUCCCGUCAACGGAGGGCUCGAGGCCCCCGACCACGGUAGAGCAAAGAAGGGAAGAAAUUUGAACACUAUUUUUCGCCUUCCUUCACAGUGAGGAAUGUGGAGGAGUCACUGUGGUGGAUGUUUAAGUUCAAAUAUAUUUUGUGUUUUCUGCUGCUUUUUAUUUGUAGAACUGACUUGGCAAAUUAAGUUUCUCAUAUGUUGCAAAACAUACUUGACUAAUAAAGUAUUAUUGUGGUUGUGAUUGUGAAAAAUACCCAAUAACUGUAAAGAAGUCUCAACAACA